rnacentral:lncRNA from 1 species
CUUCAAGAAAAAGUUAAUAAUAGAGUGCAUUUUUUGGAUAUAGGUCUACAAAUUGAAAAUAACAGCAUGACAACCACAGUAUUCCGAAGGCAAUCCUACGAACCGGACAUUGUACCGAGGUGGUCGCUAGACUCCUUUUCAUAUUAUAUUCCAUGUCUAUUUCCGAAGAGCCAUCCUGUGCAUUAAUAGCCAGGAGGAGCUGGGGAGGGAACUCAAUUGUAUCUUUGAGGCGGGAUGGCUGCAUGGUUGUUCUGGGCACGUGUUGGAAAGCUUACUUCGGAGGACUGGGCAAUCGAUCGGCAACGCCAAUGGCCUGCAUGAUCAUGAAGAGGAGUAUGAGACGAUACCGUGCGCCAUGGGGGGCUCUGGCCUUG